UGUUAAGUCAGAUGUGAAAGCCCGGGGUUCAACUUGGGAAUUGCAUUUGAAACUGGCAAACUAGAGUACUGUAGAGGGGGGUAGAAUUUCAGGUGUAGCGGUGAAAUGCGUAGAGAUCUGAAGGAAUACCGGUGGCGAAGGCGGCCCCCUGGACAGAUACUGACACUCAGAUGCGAAAGCGUGGGGAGCAAACAGGAUUAGAUACCCUGGUAGUCCACGCCGUAAACGAUGUCUACUUGGAGGUUGUGGCCUUGAGCCGUGGCUUUCGGAGCUAACGCGUUAAGUAGACCGCCUGGGGAGUACGGUCGCAAGAUUAAAACUCAAAUGAAUUGACGGGGGCCCGCACAAGCGGUGGAGCAUGUGGUUUAAUUCGAUGCAACGCGAAGAACCUUACCUACUCUUGACAUCUACAGAAGCCAGCGGAGACGCAGGUGUGCCUUCGGGAACUGUAAGACAGGUGCUGCAUGGCUGUCGUCAGCUCGUGUUGUGAAAUGUUGGGUUAAGUCCCGCAACGAGCGCAACCCUUAUCCUUGUUUGCCAGCACUUCGGGUGGGAACUCCAGGGAGACUGCCGGUGAUAAACCGGAGGAAGGUGGGGACGACGUCAAGUCAUUAUGGCCCUUACGAGUAGGGCUACACACGUGCUACAAUGGCGCAUACAGAGGGCGGCCAACUUGCGAAAGUGAGCGAAUCCCAAAAAGUGCGUCGUAGUCCGGAUUGGAGUCUGCAACUCGACUCCAUGAAGUCGGAAUCGCUAGUAAUCGUGGAUCAGAAUGCCACGGUGAAUACGUUCCUGGGCCUUGUACACACCGCCCGUCACACCAUGGGAGUGGGCUGCAAAAGAAGUGGGUAGUUUAACCUUCGGGAGGACGCUCACCACUUUGUGGUUCAUGACUGGGGUGAAGUCGUAACAAGGUAACCG
rnacentral:rRNA from 1 species